rnacentral:lncRNA from 1 species
AAAAGAACAAAAGAGCAGUACCCAAACAAAACUACAUGGUUUAACUAUAUAUAGUGGAGGGAGGGUGGGUAUUUUCAAAAUACUUCUCUCUGUAAUUAUACACGUCUGUUCACUUGCAGCUCAAAGUUAAAAAGAACGCUAACGUCAAAUUGACGUCACCACUAUACAUCUUAUCGACUACAUAUGAAUUUAUAAAGGAAAGCACUGCAACGGACGAGAUUAAAACUUUCCACUAGAAUAACCGAAUUUAUGUAUAUUACAUAAAUUCUAUUAUUCGAGAUGGCUUGUAAAACUAAGAUUUAUUGGCAGUAUUGACCACAGCUUUUUAUUAUUAAACACAAAUUUAAAUAUGUACACAUAUAGAUUCAACGAUAUAUAUUGUUCAACUAGAUAGAUUCAUAGAUAACUAGAUUCAUAGAUGUAUAGAUCAUUUUUUGGUUACCUCUGGCAACCUACAGAUAACUAGAUAGAUAUAUAUAGAUAGAUAGAUGUAUGAUCCUGGGAUACAGCGAUCAACUAACUUAGCUGUUGG